AACUCCAAAAAUAGAGUGAGUAAACUGGGUUAUUACAUAGUAAACUUGGUUAGUAGCACUAUUGGUAGAGAACCAAAUGUCCCUAAACAAUAAUCCGCACGCGCGCUACACUGACCGGAUCAGCGUGUGCUCUCCUUGGCCGACAGGUCCGGGAAACCCGUUGAACCCCGGUCGUGCUAGGGAUAGGGAAUUGCAAUUAUUUCCCUUGAACGAGGAAUUCCCAGUAAGCGCGAGUCAUUAGCUCGCGUUGAUUACGUCCCUGCCCUUGGUACACACCGCCCGUCGCUACUACCGAUGGAAGU
rnacentral:ncRNA from 1 species